UAGGGAAUCUUCCACAAUGGACGCAAGUCUGAUGGAGCAACGCCGCGUGAGUGAAGAAGGUUUUCGGAUCGUAAAGCUCUGUUGUUGGUGAAGAAGGAUAGAGGCAGUAACUGGUCUUUAUUUGACGGUAAUCAACCAGAAAGUCACGGCUAACUACGUGCCAGCAGCCGCGGUAAUACGUAGGUGGCAAGCGUUGUCCGGAUUUAUUGGGCGUAAAGCGAGCGCAGGCGGAAUGAUAAGUCUGAUGUGAAAGCCCACGGCUCAACCGUGGAACUGCAUCGGAAACUGCCAUUCUUGAGUGCAGAAGAGGAGAGUGGAAUUCCAUGUGUAGCGGUGGAAUGCGUAGAUAUAUGGAAGAACACCAGUGGCGAAGGCGGCUCUCUGGUCUGCAACUGACGCUGAGGCUCGAAAGCAUGGGUAGCGAACAGG
rnacentral:rRNA from 2 species